rnacentral:lncRNA from 10 species
UCCUAAUUCCCAGGAGAGCAUGGCACAGAGAGGUGCUCAGCAUCUUCCUGAGACUUAUAGAAGAAGCCAAGGAGCUGAGAGCAGCAGAGACAAGAAACAGAGGGAGAGUGAGAAAGUCCCGGGCCAUUCCGCAACUCAAGCAGGAGAAAAACCCAGGAGUGGGGUGGCGUAGGCGGGGCCACCACAAGGAGCCCGUGCAUCAGGGGGCGCAGGCUGUUUCUGGAUCAU